rnacentral:rRNA from 1 species
AUUGAACGCUGGCGGCGUGCCUAACACAUGCAAGUCGAGCGGUAACAGGUGUAGCAAUACAUGCUGACGAGCGGCGGACGGGUGAGUAACGCUUGGGAAUCUGCCCGUUAGUGGGGGACAACCCGGGGAAACUCGGGCUAAUACCGCAUACGCAUUACGGUGGAAAGCCGGGGACCGCAAGGCCUGGCGCUAACAGAUGAGCCCAAGUCGGAUUAGCUAGUUGGUAGGGUAACGGCCACCAAGGCGACGAUCCGUAACUGGUCUGAGAGGACGACCAGUCACACCGGAACUGAGACACGGUCCGGACUCCUAC